AUUAACCCUUAUUGAAGUCUGAGUUCAUGCAUUCAGCCAGCGCUCCAUUAUAAAUCGGAAAAGCUGCUGAAUGCCCAGCGCAGAGCACAGAGAAAGUGGAAUCAACCUGUUCAAACAGAUGGGUUGAGAAGUGUCAUUCCCACGCCGAGGUGUGCCAGCGAGCUUUGAAAGUGUGAUGAGUCAGGACAAGCUCUCGGGUAUGUUGCCACAGAAUUAAACACUGAGUGUGUCCUGUUUGAUUUUAAGAGCUCCUGUUCUUAAAUAGUCUUGUCUGUCAGCACUUACAGAUUCAACUAAGAGGCCAGAACAAAGAACUUUCCCGUCAUUACUCUGUUGGGAUUUUCCUCAGCGCUUUGAAUGACUGUGUGUGGUGAGAAUAGGUGUGAGAUAAUUGGAACGGGGAGGAUAUAAUAUGUUAUGAGAAACAGCACCGUAGAGGGCUAAUGCUCUGUCCAGUCAGUCAGGGGUAUCUAUUUGCAUGAAGAAUCCUGUACAACUUAAAUUUUUCAGUGGUUCUGCAUUCAUUAGCCUACCUAUUGAAGUGUUUUGACACACAAUGUGACAACACUUACAAUAUUUACACAGGUCUGGACCACCAACAGCUUUGUGCUUCACUCCUCCCACUUCUCAACACAUUACCUUGCAUAUCUGUAACGCAAACUUAGCCUUCUGACAAGUAGCUUUCUGACAGCUUUUAAUACCUCACCUUUCACCUGCACUUUGUCAAAAGAAAGGCAAUCCAUCAUGUCGAGGAGAGAAAAGCGAAGCAUUUAGCGGGAGAUGAGUGAGAAGUAACAUGUUUGAUCUCCUGAAAUAUUUGCAGAAGGAUUCCCAAAUGUAGGAGUGCUUAAGCUUAUCUGAGGGAGUUUCCACACAUCUGCCCAGUGUGAGCAGCAACGGACAGCAAAAACUCCACCCUGGGAUCAUAACUGUAUUUAUUGUAUUCAGCUUUUUAAAAAUCUAAUGCAACCUUGCUGCUAGACAGCACACUGACACAGGCUGAUUCUGCAAAAACCUGCAUCAUUUUCAGAUUCAAUGCCGGUGUUUUGACAUUUCUUUCUUUCUACGAUAUCAUGUAGAAAAGUAAGUAUGGUAUUAGUUAGGAGGUUGGAUCAUUACUAUAGCAAAUAAAUUAUGACUAAGGAAAUUGGCCAGGACAGUCUGAAGAUGCAGACGAGGCACUACAAAACAUUAACAACAUGUACAAGAAGCCCAAUGCAAAACCCAACCAAGGCGAUGUUGCCCAACUUUUGGACCUUGAGUUCGAGGCCAGGCGGGCUUUCAUUGAUGCAGAUGUUACAAAGGACGAAGACCGACCCACGAAAAUUUUUGAGGCAUAUCCAUGCUUCAAAGACACUCGAAAUACAAUGGAUGAGCUGCGUCGCAUCUUUGGUGGCACGAAGGGAAGAUGGGCAGACUUUUGUGCUAAGGUGCAGUUCUAUGGUGUGUGGAAGAACCCCCUUUCUCCUUGGAUCUGCGUGGAGUGGAUUUCACUAUCGCCCUCCUCAAUGCCCUCCCAUCACUUUUCCCCUCACCAAAUCCACCACCUAGCGUCUCAGAAAUGCCAGUGAGGCACUGCUUCGUAUCCUUAAGCCAGGCGAGGAUCCUGGGCUAUACCUGUGGAAGCGGCCUCUCUCCUCUCCAGUGCUGCUUUUUGAUGGAACAACCUGCAUUGUCGCUGUGGGAAACAUGCCUGUGAGCACCCUCCCCCAGGAGGAUUUCUGGGAAGGAAUGUUGGUAUUGAUGGCAUACUACUACACUCUGCACUUAACAUACCCAAAAUGUGUAGCC